CCUACGGGUGGCAGCAGUGGGGAAUAUUGGGCAAUGGGCGCAAGCCUGACCCAGCAACGCCGCGUGAAGGAAGAAGGCUUUCGGGUUGUAAACUUCUUUUGUCAGGGACGAAGCAAGUGACGGUACCUGAUGUAUAAGACACGGCUAACUACGUGCCAGCAGCCGCGGUAAUACGUAGGUGGCAAGCGUUAUCAGGAUUUACUGGGUGUAAAGGGCGUGUAGGCGGGACUGCAAGUCAGAUGUGAAAACCACGGGCUCAACCUGUGGACUGCAUUUGAAACUGUAGUUCUUGAGGACUGGGGAGGCAGACGGAAUUCCUAGUGUAGCGGUGAAAUGCGUAGAGAUUAGGAGGAACACCAGUGGCGAAGGCGGUCUGCUGGACAGCAACUGACGCUGAGGCGCGAAAGCGUGGGGAGCAAACAGGAUUAGAUACCCGUGUAGUC
rnacentral:rRNA from 1 species